rnacentral:rRNA from 1 species
AUUUAUCGGAGAGUUUGAUCCUGGCUCAGGACGAACGCUGGCGGCGUGCCUAAUACAUGCAAGUCGAGCGGACAGAUGGGAGCUUGCUCCCUGAUGUUAGCGGCGGACGGGUGAGUAACACGUGGGUAACCUGCCUGUAAGACUGGGAUAACUCCGGGAAACCGGGGCUAAUACCGGAUGGUUGUUUGAACCGCAUGGUUCAGACAUAAAAGGUGGCUUCGGCUACCACUUACAGAUGGACCCGCGGCGCAUUAGCUAGUUGGUGAGGUAACGGCUCACCAAGGCGACGAUGCGUAGCCGACCUGAGAGGGUGAUCGGCCACACUGGGACUGAGACACGGCCCAGACUCCUACGGGAGGCAGCAGUAGGGAAUCUUCCGCAAUGGACGAAAGUCUGACGGAGCAACGCCGCGUGAGUGAUGAAGGUUUUCGGAUCGUAAAGCUCUGUUGUUAGGGAAGAACAAGUGCCGUUCAAAUAGGGCGGCACCUUGACGGUACCUAACCAGAAAGCCACGGCUAACUACGUGCCAGCAGCCGCGGUAAUACGUAGGKGGCAAGCGUUGUCCGGAAUUAUUGGGCGUAAAGGGCUCGCAGGCGGUUUCUUAAG